UACGUAGGGUGCAAGCGUUUGUCCGGAAUUAUUGGGCGUAAAGGAUGCGUAGAUGGUUCAGUAAGUUACUGGUGGGAAAUCGAGGCUCAACCUCGUGGAAGUCAGUAAUACUGUUGAACUUGAGUGCAGGAGAGGUUAACGGAACUUUAUGUGGAGCGGUAAAAUGCGUAGAUAUAUGAAAGAACAUCAAUUAUGGCGAAGGCAGUUAACUAUUCUGUUACUGACAUUUGAGGCAAUGAAAGCGUGGGGAGCAAAACGGG
rnacentral:rRNA from 1 species